CCUUCCCACACGCCAACAGACACCAGGCAGUUCCCUUGCGCUAGUUAUCAGCACGCUGAUUGGUUGAAAUGUAAUUUCGUGAUUCAGAGUCCGAACCAGGAAGGGAAGGAAGGAACAACAUAUGCGGGACAAAACAGACAGGUGCGGGCCGCGCAGGGGGAGGAGGAGGUGUAUGAUUUCUGGGAGAGAAAAGGCUGACAUAGUUUUCCUUCAGGAGACCCACCUCACUGGUACACACUCUCGACUCCAAGCAAUGCUGAAGAGCACAGAUUUGCCACACUGCUUCAGUGUGAGCAGAGACGUUGCACCGACACCUGCACAGCCAAAACUGACCAGUUUAAUACCUGCUGAUUGAUACUGAGUGACCUGAGACCAUCCACAGCCUCCAGAGCAGCAAAUUGGCCUCCUCAGUCACAUGACCAAAAUCCAAGAUGGCGGCGCCCAUGUACUGAUGCCACAGUACUCCCACAGUUCCUGCGAGUUCCUAACAGCCUGCCGGCACCCGCCGACAGCAGCCCGCCCCGCUCUCAGAAGGACCCCGCCAUAAGGACUGGACGGGUAAGUUCCGACGCCCCCGGAGCACUGGUCCCUGGAGCGUGACACAGGAACUGGUGUAGAAGCAACUCCAUCAUCCUCUGAGAUAAAACAGCAACUGACUCCUGUGUGAUCAGCAAUGUGUUAUCUAGUUUUUUGGGGAGGGGACUUUCUCAUUCAUGAUGAGUCACUGGUUUGUUCAUGUGCUGAAGAGGUUAAGCCUUGGGGAUGUCUGAGGGGCUGGCCUGAGCUUCCUGUCCACUACCUGUUUGGAAUAUCUAUUGUUCUAAUAAAAGUGAUUUUAGCUUUUAUACAUUUAA